rnacentral:rRNA from 1 species
AUUGAACGCUGGCGGCAGGCUUAACACAUGCAAGUCGAGCGGAGUGAUGGUGCUUGCACUAUCACUUAGCGGCGGACGGGUGAGUAAUGCUUAGGAAUCUGCCUAUUAGUGGGGGACAACAUCUCGAAAGGGAUGCUAAUACCGCAUACGUCCUACGGGAGAAAGCAGGGGAUCACUUGUGACCUUGCGCUAAUAGAUGAGCCUAAGUCGGAUUAGCUAGUUGGUGGGGUAAAGGCCUACCAAGGCGACGAUCUGUAGCGGGUCUGAGAGGAUGAUCCGCCACACUGGGACGGAGACACGGCCCAGACUCCUACGGGAGGCAGCAGUGGGGAAUAUGAGACAAUGGGGGGAACCCUGAUCCAGCCAUGCCGCGUGUGUGAAGAAGGCCUUAUGGUUGUAAAGCACUUUAAGCGAGGAGGAGGCUUACCUAGUUAAUACCUGGGAUAAGUGGACGUUACUCGCAGAAUAAGCACCGGCUAACUCUGUGCCAGCAGCCGCGGUAA